CUACGGAGGGUGCGAGCGUUAAUCGGAAUUACUGGGCGUAAAGCGUACGUAGGCGGUUGGUUAAGUUAGAUGUGAAAGCCCCGGGCUUAACCUGGGAACUGCAUUUAAAACUGGCGAACUAGAGUUGAGUAGAGGGGAGUGGAAUUUCAGGUGUAGCGGUGAAAUGCGUAGAGAUCUGAAGGAACACCAGUGGCGAAGGCGACUCCCUGGACUCGAACUGACGCUGAGGUACGAAAGCGUGGGUAGCAAACGGGAUUAGAAACCCUUGUAGUCC
rnacentral:rRNA from 1 species